CUGUGUGAAUCUGUAUGUUUCAAUAGUUUUACGAAGAAAAUCUUAAUUUUAUUUAGGGUUUUCAAAUUGAGAUUUGAAUUUUUGUGUUCUUCUUCUUCCGAUGAUACGUUUGAACUUGUUUUGUUGUUUGAAUAGAACAUGGAUAGCAGAAUCGGAGUUACAAAUAAUGAAUUUCAGGAAACUUCGUUUACAUAUAACUUUGGCUUAAAGAGGAAGAUGAUCUCGUGACUUUACUUUUUGGUAAGCAAUUUUUGAAUCUUUGAUAUUCCUAUUUAUUCUUUGAUAAAAGAACCCUGUGUAAAGAGAGCUUUGAUUGUUGGAGUUGGUCUCUUUGUUGUGUUUCCCUUUUUCACCUGAAUGGUAAUGUAACAGUGUCAAAGUGCGAUUGCAGGUCUCUGAUGCUUUGUAGAACUCAAUUUUGAAACCGCCUCCUUCAUACGUACAGCCAGCCUUCUCUAGAAGACCGUAAGAUAUUAUGUUCCUGCUAAUAUUCGGCAUGUGUCUCACAUCAGUUAAAAUCACUUCAACACCAUCCACAUUAGUAACUCGAAUCUUUCCAAUUCCUUUAACUUCGCUCUGUGUGUUGUUCGCCAUAAAAACUUUCCACCUUCUAGUUCCUUGAAGUCAAAGAGAACAUUCCUUUGAGGAGUGAUAUGAAACGAGCAGCCAUAGUCUAGAACCCACUCCUACUUAGUGUCCUGAACACUUACAGUCAGUACAAGCGGCUGCUUUGGUUAAGAAGCUAUAUUCAUUAAGCUUGAAGACUCAUUCUUCCUUCCCUGAUUAUUCCAAUUCUGUGGGCAUUCUCUCUUCCAAUGACCAUCCUUUCCGCAAAUAAAACACCCUGUUUUGUUGGUAUUUCGGUUUGAUCUUGGUCUAGACUUUGAUCUUCCAUCCCGUGACUUUGAUCUGCUUUUUCCAUACUUUCCAUUUCCUUUAUUUCCCUUCUCCUUCUGUCUACGUUGAGAUUCCACAUACAAGCCUUUUAAGUUCGAUCUAGACUUUCCAAAGAGACCCCUUUGUUUUGUGUUGUUCAAAAUCUUUAAAAUUCAAAUUGUAGUGGGAUUCUAAGAUUUUCAGUUAUAAUAUUACUAGAUACUAGUUGGUAUAAAUAAAUUACACAUUUAUAUUUUAUCGCAUAAAAACAUGAAAACACCUAUGUAUAUAUAAAAUUAUAUACCAAAAUAUAUAGAGAUUUAUCUCAUUUUUUUUAAACAUGUAUAAUGUAAAAUAUUGUUUUUGGAUAACACAAUGUAAACUAGUUUUAUAAAAUGAUAAUUAUCAAAUCAAUAAAAUUCAUUCUUAAUUUGUGGUUAUGUAUAUAUUAAAAACCGAAUUAUUCAUUAUAUUUAAUAAAGACCUUAUAGCACAAUAUAAAUUAUUUUUUGAUAAUGAUAAUUAUCAAAUUAAUGAAAUUCAUUUUUAAUUUGUGGUUAAUCAUAUAUUAACAAAUCAAAUUAUUCAUUAAGAGUAAUAAAAAUUUUAGCCGCUCUAACUUUUAAUGUUAGAACUAAUAAUCAUUUUGCAAAUAAUAAUAUAGAAUAAAAUUAUUAAAUAGAAGGUUUAAUUAUUAUAAAUAGCUAUAAACUUGUAUCAUGGUAAAAUAAAAAUUGUCUUCUUAUUUGAUUGCAGGUUAUCCAAGUAGGGAAGGGCUUGGAUUUGAUCCAUCCUAACACAAACUUAAUCUGCUAAUUCUGUAAUAAUAAUAAUACAACAAGAUUUGUUCUACUAAUCUUUUUACAGAGUGAAAUUUUUUAUUCUUUUGAAUCAAACAAAAGACACCAGAAGAAUUAGCCUUAUCUCCAAAGACUCUAAUUACUCAGUUCCGUUCGUUCACCAUUUGUUUUGACAAUAUACAGAAGUAAGAUCAUCUCUCUGGCUCGAUUUUCAUCUGAACCGUAGAUUCAGAACCUGACACAUACAACCAAAUAACAAUGUAAUUAGAUAUCACACAACAAAACUUCACACUGUUUAUAUUCUGCAAUGUAAAUUUCUGUUUAUAUUUUUGCUUACAGUUGAUGCUCUGUUGCGGACAAUCACUGAAACCCAUAUGAACAAUACUCUGCAGAUCGUUUUCCCAGAAAGCUGGCGCCUAAGAAAACACACAAAAGUAAGCUUUUCAGAGGAAGCAAUACAGUGAGACUGUAUACAAUAUAAGCGGACAUUAAAGUACCUCAGCUUGAACAAAUCCUUCACUAAGAAUGUUCUUGCCAACAGCUAAAUACUCUGAAGGAAAUCUUGACUCUGAACAAGAUAAUGAUUCUCCCAGCUGCAACAUCUAAGACAUACAUAAUCUACUCGUCAGAUACAAUUACAGAACAUUCUCCCAGUCUUUGUUAUGAAUGAAUCAACAUAAAGCAGAAGAAUACCUCUGCAGAUAACAUAGCAUUAGCAGCAUUGAACUCCGUUCUUGGAUUUAUAGUUGCUAACUUCAUAGACAAGAACUGGAGAAGUAAACAAGAGAUUCAGAUUCAGUUAUAAUAAACACACAGCUCCAUGUUUAAGAAACAUAUAAAGCGACAGUAUACCUGGACUUGUCUUUGCAAUGACUGCACAUAAUUGAUAAUCUCAUCAAGCAUGACAGCUUUUCCAGUAAUCCGGUUGCAACCAGGGACCAAAUCUUGAAGCAACUUCAUUCUCGCACUNNNNNNNNNNNNNNNNNNNNNNNNNNNNNNNNNNNNNNNNNNNNNNNNNNNNNNNNNNNNNNNNNNNNNNNNNNNNNNNNNNNNNNNNNNNNNNNNNNNNNNNNNNNNNNNNNNNNNNNNNNNNNNNNNNGAAGCCCUAGAAAAUCGGCGACCGACUCGAACAUGACACCACACGUUGAACAGAUAGCAUGGUAGGGACACGCGCCCACUAACGAAGCCGCCACCUAACUUCAGCCAGAAAGUCAUCGACGGAGCUCCAACCGGCUGUUCCACCGGAAACACACCGGAAACAGGAACCCGAAGUUAGAGAUCUAUCGAAGACUAUGGAUAAUUGCUUUCCACCACCGACAUGGUCUACGCCGGAGGAUCAAAGAGAUACACCGGAAGCCAAGAGGCUGAGGAAGCCCGCUAAAGACAGUAGAACACAGUCGAUAACCAUACAACUUGGCUCUUCGCUUUAUAGACGAUUCAUUUGCAUGCGUUCCAAAACAGGAAACAGAGAUGAAUCGAAGAAGCUUGAAGGAAAGAUCAGACGAAAGCCAGAAUAAACCAGAGAGAAGCCGCACGACGCCACCGGAGAAGACACCGUCAUCAACGUCGCCGGAACCAGAAGCCAAUGAAUCAUUUAGAAGAAAGUGAUUCAUUGGAGCCAAAAGCCGACGGUUUCGUCAGAGAAGAACGACCACCGUCGAACCCAAAAGCCGGCCAGUCGAUGUUGAAGAAACCAUCGCUGCCGGAACCGACUCCUAUAGGAGCCAACACGCCGGAAACCACCGGCGAUCUAUAUCCUCUCUCUCUGAAAGAUUUUUUAGAGAGAAGAGAGAGAGUUUUUUAUGAUUGUGUUUUUUCCAAUGUGUGAUUUUCAUUCACUCCUCGUUAGCCUUUUAUGAAAAUAUUGUAAUACUGUGAAAUUAUAUCUAAAACUCGUGACACCGGUUUAUAGGUUAGAUGUAUUUUAUCUUAUCCAGCGACAUAAACAGGAUAUCUUGACAUGAUGAGAUAAGAAAAUGUACUGGUCCUUGUAAAUUUGGACCGCAUGUCGGCCAAAAAAUCGUUUUGACUGAUAUAUUAAGCUCAACUUUUUUUGUACCCGCAAAUUUAAAACGCUCAAAUAUUUGUUAUAACGCCAUCAAAACAGUGAUCAUUAUUCAAAAUUUAACUUAUAUGUGAUAUUUCCACUCGACUCAAUUAAAAUAGAAAUAAGCCAAGCUAAAAAAACAAAUGGUGACAUCAGAAGAAGGAAAAUCAAAAUGAUGAAUAAAGGGUGGUCAUGAUCCUAUGAGUCCCAUUAAUAUUUAUAUAUAUACACAGUGGUCAUGCACUCUUGAUAUUUGUUGCUUCUACAGUUUACUAUUUAUUUUUCACAUACAGCAAGAGUAAAAUUUUAAACGUGUCAAAAUAAAUCGUUGAGGUAGCACUCAGCAGAUCUAAUAAGUGGAUUGCCUCGAAUCAUAUUAACCCUGGGUUACUCUCGAGUACUGACAAGUAGAUAACGCCAAAGAAAAUGAUGUAAAAGGCCAAUAAUGGACUGUAAUAAAGGUGUGGUUCAGUACUCAUCGUGAAGGCGUAUCUAAUAUCUUCUUUCCCCAGCUACACGACUAAUUUACUCAAGUGCACCGUAUUUUUCUUGUACACGUAAACUAUUUAUAAGUCUACAUAGUUGUACAAUUGUAUAGUAUUUUAUACACUGUGCGUAGGUAAAUACGUAUGGCUCGUGUGGUGGUCCCCGCAGAAACCAAAGGUAGAGCCGUGUGGAGGGACCUCCCCCAAGUAAAACGAUAACCACACGGUAUCAGAUCCCUUGUCACUUUCUUGAAUUUAGUGGCGCCCUUUAACUCUAAAGGAACCUCCCCUAAAUAGAUACAGAACUAAUAUUCAUUUGUUUUUAAUAAAAAGUUGAUUUAAUCUUUUUGAUUGUGUUUCAAAAAAAAAAAAAAAAUCUUUUUGAUUAUUGACUAGGCUUCGAAACGCGUAAUGACUUCUUCUUCUAGUACAGCCAAACAAGUAUGGUGUCUAUGUAUUUGCUGCGUAUAAGAUCGUAAAGCCCGUCUUUGGGUCAAGUCGAUGGAACCUAUACUUUAAGUGAAUAUUUUCUUUAAACUUUUCUUGACAGAAUUUCAGAUUUGAAGAUUCAAAUUAUCAUGUUUAUAAUAUUUCCAUUUUAACGAAGCGGCCAUUCUUUCUUUAGCCUUUGAAAUUUCGGAACCAAUACAAACCAUGACCCAUGAUGUCAUUAUACUUUUACCAAAAAAAUGAUGUCAUUAUACUGAAAAAUAGCUAAAGCUUUUAAUAGUGAUAUUAAACUUAGUUGUUGGCUGCUGAUCCAUAAGAAAUUGUUGGCAUAUGAUUUGCUUAAAGAAAAACCAGUGAAUAAUAUACGAAUUCGUUCAUUUUAAUUCAUCUGUACUUAACACUAUUAUAUAGAAAGGUAAGGGUGGACGAGACUGAUGCUGGUUAAAUAACAUAAUGAUAUAUAAUUUUUUUGCAAUUUUUUAAAUAGAAGUUUUAGUUUUUAUCCAUUUCUUAUACUUUUUUUUCGUCAACACAAUUCUAUUGAUUUAUACAAGGAGUUCAUGAUCUUUUUAUUUUUGAACAGAGGAGGAGUUCAUGAUCUAAACUCUGGUUUUUGACUAUAUACAAGUUGAAUGAAUGUAUGUAUCAAAAUCAGAUAAGCUACAUCCACUUUUUAAAACAACUAGUUGAUGUAAUUUAUAGCCACCUUUUAAUACUAGUUUUUGAGCUAGCUGUAUUUUAUACUAAGUUCCUUGCAUUUGAAUUUAGAAUGGGCUUUUGCAUUAAAACUAUACUCGAUUUGUAUUCAUAAACUUCAAAAAAAGUUUUAAUAGCUAUGACUUUUGAGUCUACGACAGCUCGAACAUAGAAAAUUAAAAAACUAUGAAAUGUACCUAUCCAAUUUAAUUUAUUUUUCAAGAUUCAUAUAUGUAUAUAUUUACAUAUUUAAUUGUAUUACAUUGUCUAUACUCAUUAAAACUUUACGCAAAUGCGCAUGGACGAGCAUGUCUCUCCGCAUGGCGUAAGAUUUAAGUUUAAAACUUCUAUAAAAUAACAGACUAAUAACAAAAUUAUCGGCUAAGCAUCACUUAAAUUUAAUACACGUUAUGGAGACUACCACGUCACAUUUGAGCACCUUCCAGGCUGUCAAAGACUCCUAUCACCCAUUCAAAUCAUUCCACGUGGCACUUUCGGACAGUGACACCUAUGCUACAACAGCUGUCUCACUCGUCUACAUUGGUAUAAAUACCUCUUGUAUCACACUUCAUUCUAUAAACCUCAAACAAAACCUCUGUUCUAACUCUUACAAUAACCAACUUCUCAAAUGGCUUAUAAUUACCGUUUUGCCUUUUUCCUCACCGUCCUCACCGCCCUCGCCGGGAUCUCCUCCGCCGCGUUGGUCAAGGAGCAGCCGCUUGUUCUGAAAUACCACAACGGCGCACUCUUGAAAGGAAACAUCAACGUCAAUCUCGUUUGGUAUGGGAAGUUCACACCCACCCAACGGUCAGUGAUCGUCGACUUCAUCCGCUCGCUCAACUCCAAAGAAGCCACAACCUCCGCCGCUCCCUCCGUCGCGUCGUGGUGGAAGACGACGGAGAAAUACAAAGGCGGAGCUUCGACUCUCGUCGUCGGGAAACAGCUCCUCCUCGAGAACUACCCCCUCGGAAAAUCUCUCAAGAAUCCCAACCUCCGUGCUUUAUCCACCAAACUUAACGGCGGUCUCCGUUCUAUAACCGUCGUUUUAACGGCGAAAGACGUUUCCGUCGAGGGCUUCUGUAUGAACCGGUGCGGGUCCCACGGAUCGUCCGUCUCGACUUCGCGCCGCGCGGCUAACGGCGAGGCUUACGUCUGGGUCGGAAACGCCGAGACGAUGUGCCCGGGGUACUGCGCGUGGCCAUUUCACCAGCCCAUUUACGGCCCACAAGGGCCGCCGUUAGUUUCCCCUAACGGUGACGUUGGAGUCGACGGGAUGAUUAUAAACCUGGCUACGCUGCUAGCUAACACCGUCACGAAUCCGUUUAAGAACGGGUAUUACCAGGGCCCACCAACUGCUCCACUUGAAGCUGUCUCCGCUUGUACCGGCAUGUUCGGGUCUGGUUCUUACCCGGGUUACGCGGGUCUAGUGCUGGUUGACAAAACUACCGGGUCUAGCUACAACGCUCGUGGACUCGCCGGGAGGAAAUAUCUCUUGCCGGCGAUGUGGGAUCCACAGACCUCGACUUGCAAGACUCUGGUUUGAUCCAAGGGAUGUGAGUAUGACACGUGUCAUGUUCUGGAAGGAAUGAGGAGAUCUAGAUGACAUCUAUAGUCAAAACAAGUUGUAACUCGCGCUUGUAUAAUAUAUAUGCUUUCGGGUUUGGACUGUGGAUAAGAGUCUUUGCUUUUGUCGUUUUGUUAUGACGUGUAAAUUAUGUUUCUUGAAUGUGAAGAUAUAUGAAUAGUAUAAAAUAAAAUGAUUGUGUUUCUGUUGACAAAAAAAAUGAUUUUGUUUCUACUGCUUUUUAUAAAAGUUAAUGCACUUAUUAAAGAUAAUGAACUAUAAUGAUUGAGGCUUAUAAUACAAAUUUUAUACAUUUAAAGGAAUCUAGCUUUUAUAUUAGUGGGUAGUAUAAGAUAAUCAUAGUUUUAUUGUUUAUAUUAAAUUCGAUGAUAAAAGUAGAUAACACUACAAAGAAAGAUGAGUAUAAAAUAUAAGUUGCUCUCGGUGAUGUUGGGGCCAAAGAGACCAAAUCGAUUGCUUAAUAAAAUACUCGUUUCUUCCUACUUUUUUUUUCAUGUCAGCCAUAGUGUGCUUAAAAUACUUCCUCGUAAUUGUGUUCCCUCAUUAUUUGUAUGACUAUGAUUAAAACUAAGUUAACAAAGAUAAGGUCUGUAAUAACACCAGAAUUCAUUGUGUCAGAGGUUCUGUGGAACAAAAUUAUUUAUAUUAUAUGAUGUAGUUUAGGAUACGGAGAAAUUGAGAAGCUUUUAAAAAUGAUAUAAGAACAUAAUUAUAUAUGUUAUAAAGGAAAAAGAAAUUAUCAUCUCGACUUCGCGCCGCGCGGCUAACGGCGAGGCUUACGUCUGGGUCGGAAACGCCGAGACGAUGUGCCCGGGGUACUGCGCGUGGCCAUUUCACCAGCCCAUUUACGGCCCACAAGGGCCGCCGUUAGUUUCCCCUAACGGUGACGUUGGAGUCGACGGGAUGAUUAUAAACCUGGCUACGCUGCUAGCUAACACCGUCACGAAUCCGUUUAAGAACGGGUAUUACCAGGGCCCACCAACUGCUCCACUUGAAGCUGUCUCCGCUUGUACCGGCAUGUUCGGGUCUGGUUCUUACCCGGGUUACGCGGGUCUAGUGCUGGU
rnacentral:lncRNA from 1 species